AUUGGGACUGAGAUACGGCCCAGACUCCUACGGGAGGCAGCAGUGGGGAAUAUUGGGCAAUGGGCGCAAGCCUGACCCAGCAACGCCGCGUGAAGGAAGAAGGCUUUCGGGUUGUAAACUUCUUUUAAGUGGGAAGAGUAGAAGACGGUACCACUUGAAUAAGCCACGGCUAACUACGUGCCAGCAGCCGCGGUAAUACGUAGGUGGCAAGCGUUGUCCGGAUUUACUGGGUGUAAAGGGCGUGCAGCCGGGCAUGCAAGUCAGAUGUGAAAUCUCAGGGCUUAACCCUGAAACUGCAUUUGAAACUGUAUGUCUUGAGUGCCGGAGAGGUAAUCGGAAUUCCUUGUGUAGCGGUGAAAUGCGUAGAUAUAAGGAAGAACACCAGUGGCGAAGGCGGAUUACUGGACGGUAACUGACGGUGAGGCGCGCAAGCGUGGGGAGCGAACAGGAUUAGAUACCCUGGUAGUCCACGCUGUAAACGAUGGAUACUAGGUGUGCGGGGACUGACCCCCUGCGUGCCGCAGUUAACACAAUAAGUAUCCCACCUGGGGAGUACGAUCGCAAGGUUGAAACUCAAAGGAAUUGACGGGGGCCCGCACAAGCGGUGGAUUAUGUGGUUUAAUUCGAAGCAACGCGAAGAACCUUACCAGGUCUUGACAUCCUGCUAACGAAGUAGAGAUACAUUAGGUGCCCUUCGGGGAAAGCAGAGACAGGUGGUGCAUGGUUGUCGUCAGCUCGUGUCGGGAGAUGUUGGGUUAAGUCCCGCAACGAGCGCAACCCCUAUUGUUAGUUGCUACGCAAGAGCACUCUAGCGAGACUGCCGUUGACAAAACGGAGGAAGGUGGGGACGACGUCAAAUCAUCAUGCCCCUUAUGACCUGGGCUACACACGUAAUACAAUGGCGGUCAACAAAGGGAUGCGAAGCCGCGAGGCAGAGCGAACCCCAAAAAGCCGUCCCAGUUCGGAUCGCAGGCUGCAACCCGCCUGCGUGAAGUCGGAAUCGCUAGUAAUCGUGGGUCAGCAUACCACGGUGAAUACGUUCCCGGGCCUUGUACACACCGCCCGUCACACCAUGAGAGUCGGGAACACCCGAAGUCCGUAGCCUAACCGUAAGGAGGGCGCGGCCGAAGGUGGGUUCGAUAAUUGGGGUGAAGUCGUAACAAGGUAGCCGUUCGAGAACGAGCGGCUG
rnacentral:rRNA from 1 species